CCUACGGGAGGCAGCAGUGGGGAAUCUUGCGCAAUGGCCGAGAGGCUGACGCAGCGACGCCGCGUGGGGGAUGAAGCAUUUCGGUGUGUAAACCCCUGUUGCUCGGGACGAACGACCCUUUUCGAGGGGUGUGACGGUACCGAGUGAGGAAGCACCGGCUAACUCCGUGCCAGCAGCCGCGGUAAUACGGAGGGUGCAAGCGUUGUCCGGAAUCACUGGGCGUAAAGGGCGCGUAGGUGGUUAGAUGCGCCGGUGGUGAAAGCGCAGGGCUCAACCCUGCGUCGGCCAUCGGGACGGUCUGACUGGAGCACUGUAGAGGCAGGUGGAAUUCCGGGUGUAGCGGUGGAAUGCGUAGAGAUCCGGAAGAACACCGGUGGCGAAGGCGGCCUGCUGGGCAGUUGCUGACACUGAGGCGCGACAGCGUGGGGGAGCGAAACAGGAUUAGGAUACCCUGGUAGUCCACGCCGUAAACGAUGGGCACUAGGUGCUUGGGGGAGCGACCCCCUGAGUGCCGACGCUAACGCGAUAAGUGCCCCGCCUGGGGAGUACGCCGCAGGUUGAACUCAAUGAAUUGACGGCUGAGAGNGCGAGCGACGACGAGGGAGGAGG
rnacentral:rRNA from 1 species